GUCAACUAAAACUCAAGACCAGGUUCUUCUUGGGACACCAGUGGUGAGACCCGAUGGAAAGCUUAAGAAGAAAACCUGUGUGAAAAGGGCCAAAAAAAGCGUGCUGAAAGCUGAAAGCAGUUCCCCUUUAUCAAAGAGGAGUCGAAGGAAGGCAGUGCCCUCCAAAGCUGUAGCUGAGUCCAAAGCAAGGGAG